AUUGAACGCUGGCGGCAUGCCUUACACAUGCAAGUCGAACGGCAGCACAGGGGCAACCCUGGUGGCGAGUGGCGAACGGGUGAGUAAUGCAUCGGAACGUGCCCAGUAGUGGGGGAUAGCUCGGCGAAAGCCGGAUUAAUACCGCAUACGACCUACGGGUGAAAGCGGGGGACCGUAAGGCCUCGCGCUGUUGGAGCGGCCGAUGUCAGAUUAGGUUGUUGGUGGGGUAAAGGCCUACCAAGCCGACGAUCUGUAGCUGGUCUGAGAGGACGACCAGCCACACUGGGACUGAGAAACGGCCCAGACUCCUACGGGAGGCAGCAGUGGGGAAUUUUGGACAAUGGGGGCAACCCUGAUCCAGCCAUGCCGCGUGCGGGAAGAAGGCCUUCGGGUUGUAAACCGCUUUUGUCAGGGAAGAAAUCUUCCAGGCUAAUAUCUUGGGAGGAUGACGGUACCUGAAGAAUAAGCACCGGCUAACUACGUGCCAGCCGCCGCGGUAAAAC
rnacentral:rRNA from 1 species